CGCGGCCUAUCAGCUUGUUGGUGAGGUAAUGGCUCACCAAGGCGACGACGGGUAGCCGGCCUGAGAGGGCGACCGGCCACACUGGGACUGAGAUACGGCCCAGACUCCUACGGGAGGCAGCAGUGGGGAAUAUUGCACAAUGGGCGAAAGCCUGAUGCAGCGACGCCGCGUGAGGGAUGGAGGCCUUCGGGUUGUAAACCUCUUUCAGCAGGGAAGAAGUGGCCGGGUUUUCUUGGUUGUGACGGUACCUGCAGAAGAAGCGCCGGCUAACUACGUGCCAGCAGCCGCGGUAAUACGUAGGGCGCAAGCGUUGUCCGGAAUUAUUGGGCGUAAAGAGCUCGUAGGCGGUUUGUCGCGUCUGCUGUGAAAACUCGAGGCUCAACCUCGGGCUUGCAGUGGGUACGGGCAGACUAGAGUGCGGUAGGGGAGACUGGAAUUCCUGGUGUAGCGGUGGAAUGCGCAGAUAUCAGGAGGAACACCGAUGGCGAAGGCAGGUCUCUGGGCCGCAACUGACGCUGAGGAGCGAAAGCAUGGGGAGCGAACAGGAUUAGAUACCCUGGUAGUCCAUGCCGUAAACGUUGGGCACUAGGUGUGGGGCUCAUUCCACGAGUUCCGUGCCGCAGCUAACGCAUUAAGUGCCCCGCCUGGGGAGUACGG
rnacentral:rRNA from 1 species